GCGACUACUCGGCUGCAGAAGAAGUGACAACAAGCAGCAACAGUUUGCAGCGAUCGAUUAUUUUUUCAACAUGGAGGAUUACAUAUCUAAAAUAAAACAGUUUUCUAAACUGGACCUUCAAUCGAAGCAGGAGGUAAUAAUUAAAGGAAGAUCUCCAUCGAGACAGAGACAUUUUUAAAACUUAAGAUGGAUAAGGAAGACUUCUAUAAACAAGUUAUCGAUGCUUUUGUUCAAAAGGAGCGGCGCAUGGACUUCAUUUAUAAGUAAAGGUGUGGUGAAAUUUGUCCUCUGCAUUUGACCCAUCCCCUUGAUCACCCCCGGGAAGUGAGGGGAGCAGUGGGCAGCACCCGGGAAUCAUUUUUGGUGAUCUAACCCCCAAUUCCAACCCUUGAUGCUGAGUGCCAAGCAGGGAAAAAUGCUGCUCCACUUGACAUUGGUGAGCUUUUGCCGUGAGCAAUGUGGAAGGCCAACAACGGGUCAGGACACGCAGUAGAUGCUGCUGUUGUCUGCAGUUAUCCUGUUGCAACUGUGAAGUUGAUCAAGAACAACACACAGUCGUGGUUUCAGUACAUGGAAGCCCACUUGGAGGAAUUGCCUAGCAUGUGAAAAAGUACAAUACCGACAAUUAGAAUGCACUCAAGGCUACCAUAUUGGGUACAUGAAGUGUAAAUUGAAAUAUUUAAGGCUAAACGGGUGCCUUUUCAUGUUUAAAGGGCUCAAAUAAUGUUCAAAAACAAAUUUUGAUGGUUGUAAACAUUAACUCUUAUGAGCAGGUCCAUUUUGGGUCCCAGGCAGCUUAAACAUUGACAUAAUUUUAUAUAUGUAUAUAUAUAUAUAUAUAUAUAUAUAUUAACAUUGCUGUAUGUAUACUUUUAACCUAGCAGAUUUGGUCACAUUUUCAGUAGAUCCAUAAUAAAUUCAUAAAAGAACCAAACUUCAUGAAUGUAUUUUGUGACCAACAAGUAAGUAUGUGCUCCAAUCACUCUAUCACAAAAAAUAAGUGUUGUAGAAAUUAUUGGAAACUCAAGACAGCCAUGACAUUGUGUUCUUUACAAAUGUAUGUAAACUUUUGGUCGUGACUUUAUAUUUGUGUUGUUGUUUUUUUUGUUUCCCCCCCUGAAGCUGCUGUGCUGACCCUGAAGUCUUCGAGUGCACUGAUUUAAGUGAAAGCCAGUUUUCAGCAUGAUAAAUGUUCUCACGUGAACAACUGUAACAUCCAUAACUACACCAA